CAAGAGUUUGAUCAUGGCUCAGGAUGAACGCUAGCUAUAGGCUUAACACAUGCAAGUCGAGGGGCAGCGAAUAGAUAGCUUGCUAUUUAUGUCGGCGACCGGCGCACGGGUGAGUAACGCGUAUCCAACCUGCCCAUAACUAAGGGAUAACCCAGCGAAAGUUGGACUAAUACCUUAUGUAUUCGUUUGAUCUCAUGAGAUUACGAAUAAAGAUUUAUCGGUUAUGGAUGGGGAUGCGUCUGAUUAGCUUGUUGGCGGGGUAACGGCCCACCAAGGCAACGAUCAGUAGGGGUUCUGAGAGGAAGGUCCCCCACAUUGGAACUGAGACACGGUCCAAACUCCUACGGGAGGCAGCA
rnacentral:rRNA from 1 species